GAUGAUUGUUGUGAUCAAAUGUGUCAUUUUGUGACAUCUCUGUGAACUUCAUAACUGACAGGGGCUCGCCCUUCCGGAGAUUUGGUGGACCCAGAGACAGAGUACAAGACAAAGAAAGUGACAGAAAGGUUCUCUGAGAACCUGCACAUCAUCGCGAACGAGCCGUCCCUGGCCCUGUUCAGACUGCAGGAACAUGUGCACAAAUCUCUCCCUCAGUUAGCGGAGCAGAAGCAUGACUUGCAGAGUAUAGAGAACCAGGUGAAGGGAGCUGUCUAUGACACACAGUAUGCCAUCAGUGCUGUAGAAGCUGUACAGAGGAGCAGCCAGCCGCUCAACAACAUUUCUGACCUCCUGAGGGAGGCUAGUUUUUAUAAGGAGAGACUAAAUGAAGAAAGUAGAAAAGCUGGAGCAGGGAACAAGUCUCGGGUCAAGUCAGGGUCAUUCACAUCGUCCAGUAGGGAGGCUCAUCCUUCUGUUCCUGUCUCUGGGCACAGCAUCAAUGCGGAUCCACCUGAUGUUCAGAUGAGUCCCGUGACGGAGAGUCUUCCCGUGUUCCGUGGCCUGCCUAUCAGCUCAUCAGGAACAACCACAACUGCACAGGACGAUGACUUGGACCUGGUCCCAAAGUCCUUUGAUUGAUGAGAAUGAAGAUUCAGAAUAUGCAUGAAACUGCAAGGAUAGGGACAUUAUUGUACUGUGGGACCUCGUGCUCUAUUAUACAUUUUUCUAUAUCAUCCCUAAGAGUACAAAACAAAAACUUUGAAGUUCCAAAUGUAAAUGGGCCUAUCUGUCUCAUGAAUCAUGAUUCUACAUUCAACACUGCAUUCCCCUGUCAAUGUCA